CAUUGAUGAUUGAUCUGUAUCUCACAAGCUUAUUACUCAGUCUUCUCAGCUGGGGCUUCUGUUUCAACCUUCUCCUCAGCUUCAGCUGGUUUUUCUUCUUCCUUAGCAACUUCCUCUUUGGGUGCUUCAACUGGGGCCUCUGCUUCUGGUUCUGCUGCUGCCGCUUCGCCAGACUCCGUAGUUUCUUUGGUUUCUUCAGCAGGUUGCUCAGUGGUCUCCUUGCUCUCCUCGACAACUACUGGCUCCGGUACUGUUUCCUUAGGAGUGUCCUCUUCUUUUUUCUCAACCUCUGGCUCCUCAGUGACAACCUUGGCCUCUUCUACCACCUCCUUGGUUUCAACUUUGGUCGAGGCUUCAGGCUCCGGAGCCACGGGUUGUUCAGAUGCUGCUUCAGGCUCUGCUUCCUUUGGCUCUUCAGCAACAGGUUCCGUUGCAGGAGCUACGGCGGCUACCUCUUCUGUUGUAGUUUCUUGAACCUUGAUUGAUUCUUCAGUUUUCUCCUCAUGAAGUGCAGUUUGAACUGAUGCAACCUAUAGAACACAUCAAGUAAGAAAACAUACUUAUUACUGAAUUGAUUAUUGGGCGAUCAGAAUCAUUUGCCACUUAAGUGAAGAGUCAGAAAUGUGAAUUGGAUACAAACAGUCUUGUAAAUCUUGUUUGAACUAAGCUUUUUAGUAUAGUGAUCAGCUAGUAACUAUUACAAGUGAUUGCAUUAUAUCCUUGUCUUACUGUAUAUAAAGAGAAUCAAGUUUCUAAAAGAUGAAGUCUAACAAAAUACGUAGCGCAAAAAGGGAUUUCAAUAACGAAUAUUAAGAUCAUAAUCGUUUGACUUGAUCUUCAUUUUCACUAUUCCAAUCAGCUCCAUCCUUAAAACUAGAUCAGGUGACAAAUGGUAUAAAACUAGGUGCAUAGAUGAGCUAAUGAACGCAAAUGAAUUGAAAAACCAAUCUCAAAUGGAGAACUUAAUAAGAAUUCAAUACCUCAGCAGCAGCCAUAGGAUUCCCAAGGAAAUGUGAAUAGAACUACAAAUAAAUUUGGUAGCAGGCAAACAAUUGAAGGCAAGCAGAGAGAAAGAACGCUUUGAGAUAUGCAGAGAUGAUCAAAAGAGAGUGGUUUAUAUAGAGGUGUAGAGGCCGAAAA
rnacentral:lncRNA from 1 species